GAGGUUGUGGGUCAAUGGUAGAGCACUCGCCUACCAUGUCAUGUGCGGGACCCUGGGUUCGAUCCUCAGUACCACA
rnacentral:tRNA from 1 species